rnacentral:rRNA from 1 species
UACAGAGGGUGCGAGCGUUAAUCGGAAUUACUGGGCGUAAAGCGUGCGUAGACGGUUAUUUAAGUCAGAUGUGAAAGCCCCGGGCUCAACCUGGGAAUUGCAUUUGAGACUGAAUAGCUAGGGUGCGGUAGAGGGAAGCGGAAUUUCCGGUGUAGCGGUGAAAUGCGUAGAUAUCGGAAGGAACAUCAGUGGCGAAAGCGGCUUCCUGGACCAGCACCGACGUUCAGGCACGAAGGCGUGGGGAGCAAACAGG